rnacentral:tRNA from 1 species
GCCGUUAGCUCAGUUGGUAGAGCAUCUGACUUUUAAUCAGAGGGUCGCUGGUUCGAACCCAGCACGGCUCA